AAGUGCGAAUGCUGACAUGAGUAGCGAUAAUGGGAGUGAAAAGCUCCCACGCCGUAAGCCCAAGGUUUCCUGUUCAACGUUCAUCGGAGCAGGGUGAGUCGGCCCCUAAGGCGAGGCAGAGAUGCGUAGCUGAUGGGAAGCAGGUUAAUAUUCCUGCACCGUCGUAUGAUGCGAUGGGGGGACGGAUCGCGGAAGGUCGUCAGGCGGUUGGAAGAGCCUGUUCUUGACUUGUAGAAGGCACUUAGGCAAAUCCGGGUGCGUAAUUCAAGGGGUUGAGACGAGUGAAUUUAUUCACGAAGCGAUCGGAAGUGGUUCCAAGAAAAGCCUCUAAGCUUCAGUCAUACGAGACCGUACCGCAAACCGACACAGGUGGGCGAGAUGAGUAUUCUAAGGCGCUUGAGAGAACUCGGGAGAAGGAACUCGGCAAAUUGGUACCGUAACUUCGGGAUAAGGUACGCCCUUGUAGUUUGACCCCCCUGCGGGGGAAGGAUGAAAGGGUUGCAAUAAACUGGUGGCUGCAACUGUUUAAUAAAAACACAGCACUAUGCAAACACGAAAGUGGACGUAUAUGGUGUGACUCCUGCCCGGUGCUGGAAGAUUAAAUGAUGGGGUGCAAGCUCUUGAUUGAAGUCCCAGUAAACGGCGGCCGUAACUAUAACGGU
rnacentral:rRNA from 1 species